AUACGGAGGAUCCGAGCGUUAUCCGGAUUUAUUGGGUUUAAAGGGUGCGCAGGCGGCCAUUUAAGUCAGCGGUUAAAUCGUGGGGCUCCACCCCAUUCUGCCGUUGAUACUGGGUGGCUUGAUUGCGGUCGAGGUUGGCGGAAUUCGUUGUGUAGCGGUGAAAUGCAUAGAUAUGACGAAGAACACCGAUUGCGUAGGCAGCUGACCAGACCGCAAAUGACGCUCAUGCACGAAAGUGCGGGGAUCGAACAGGAUUAGAUACCCUGGUAGUCCGCACAGUAAACGAUGAAUACUUGUUUUCGGCGAUAUAAUGUCGGAGGCAAAGCGAAAGCGAUAAGUAUUCCACCUGGGGAGUACGCCGGCAACGGUGAAACUCAAAGGAAUUGACGGGG
rnacentral:rRNA from 1 species